rnacentral:tRNA from 1 species
UCCUUAGUGGCUCAGAUGGUAAAGAAUCUACCUGCAACGCAGGAGACCCAGGUUCAAUUCCUGGUUCAGGAA